AAACAGAAAAAGCUUCAACAUUCAUCAAUGGCGUAAACCUAACCUUUUCCAGAAACAGAAACUACACAAAUUCAAGCUAUUUUUUCAGGGAUUCUCAGUGAUUCUUUGAAGAAUCAUCAUCAUUGAAUCAAUAUCUUCGCAAUUCAAGGUGCGAAUUCGCCAAAGGCAAACUCCAGCACCGAUCACGAAGAUACAGUGAGGAAGACGAAGAAGAAAGAAAGACAGUGAAGGUUUAAACCGGCGAAGAAGACGAUAAAGCAAGAAAUCAGCAAGAACACCGGUUUAUUUCCGGAUUCAAAGCCAAAUCACAUAGCAUCAGAGAUUGAAGUUUUCCGAAGAAUUUCUCCAUUAAAGGUUUCAACCAAAACCUUAGGUAAAACUCA
rnacentral:lncRNA from 1 species